AUUAUUCUCUUUACCUCUUUGAAGGAGGCAUUCAUGGUCAUGUCAUGUCACGUACCCGGGUAAUCACUAAAACUGUAGAAGCUACAGGAGGAUAUUAUCUCGGGUAGUCGACACCAUAAGAUACGGUCAAUGAAGAGGUGUUUAAGAGGGUGUGGAGUGAACGACUCGUUCCACAGCUCGCUUAAUGGGUCAAGUUGUGGUACGAACAAAACGAGUAUGAACGGUACGAUCCCUACCGACUUCGAGCUCGUGGACGUCAACACUCUUCGAAUCUACCCUCGUGGUGGGUCGGAGACUUGGCGGACUAGUCAGCCAACCUGCGGCCGUACCCAAGAAGUUUAAACUGAGAGUCGACACGGUUAUCUACGCCAGUGAACUGGAAGUCGAUGGGUAAGCCGUAUCCUCGACCAACGAAGUCCUUAGGACUUAAGUCAGAGUAAACGUUGGUGUGCUGGUUAGGGGGAUUUGAGAAGAACGUGCUACCAUCAUCAUGUUCAUGUUGGGUCCAACACCCGCUAUAAAUGGGGUUACCGUACAGUCACUUGAACACCCCGUUCGUGAACGUCAAGUCGAGAAAAAAACAGUUGAAGAGGUUUUGGUAGGGGUACUUUAGACCAGAACUACGGAUGUUGUACAGUACCUGAGGUCCCUUUUGAAAAUCGGAAGAGUCAUGUUACAGGGAAAGACAGUAACGAACGCUGAACCUACACAUGAACCACGCAUUUCUGGAACCAUUGGCACUCAACCAAACGUUCCAUAGGACGGGGUCGUAUCUAUAACGCCUCGUUCAAAUAUCCGUCCUGGCUGUACCGGGACCCAGCACAAGAAUAUGUAUAAGACGUAAUUGUCAAGUGUGUGAGCUCAAAGUUAAACAAGGGGUGUUCUGUCCAUUCUAUUUUUGUGUUAGAUCUGAGUUGUAGAACACCCUAUGUUAGCUGUAUUGAUAAUUAUAGAAUUAGUAUACCUCAUAGGAGCUGGUUUGCUCGACGAGGUCCUCGUACCUACUAUCGUUGAUACGUACACAGUCGGUGGUGUCGCUUACGUGCCAAGGAGAACGGCUAUUUCCAAUAUAGACGUCCACGUAGUCACCAAUACUUCCGUUAGGUAUAUAGAGGCCACCGACGAGUCGACAGGUACCAUUAUUAGAGGAGAUAGUAUGGAAUAGAAAACUUCGAGGAAAACCUAAACAAAAAUUGUUUUUUUAUAUAUCAAGAUACUUUGAUUCAGGUGCUAUUAGUUUCUUUGUUAUGGUUGAUAAACAAUUUUAAUUAUAGAUGAUAGAGUGAUUCAUGGGGGAAAUAAAACUUUAUAUUCCGAAGAAGCCAGAGAUAUAAUGUUCCGGAACUGGUUGUUAACGAAAUUAUACACCAUGUACACUGUACCUUAACUACAGUGGGCUAAGUAAAUUUUUCAUAAAUGAAUACAAACACCAAAAAAUAUAUUGUAUUUGGUGUUUAAUUGACUGUUGAUAACCACUUUAUUGAGCAGAAUUGCUUAUUUUUUAUGUGUGAUAUAGAACUUUACCUCCUUAAUGACUCAUUAGAAUCCUUGUACAGAUCAGGUUGAAUUCGUCGUAAUAAAACUUCAGUACAUGUGCAAAAUCAAAAAUGGACACUGUGAUGACCCUGAGGUAAAAGAGAUGAUGAUAUCAUGUGUUUAAAAACUUAAGUCUGAUCGAUAGGUAGUUCUAAGUACUCGUUGGCACUCGGUAACUAAACAAGAUCUUCUACUUAUAGGUGGCAAAUAGUCAUGGUGUGGGUUCACUAGAUUGCCAAGUACAAAGGACCUAAGCGAGACGUGUUUGUGCACGGUUGUGCUGAGGUGCUAGAAAGACCUUGUGAGUGCCGUGACUUACGAUGGUGUGUGGUGUGCACGACGACGUUUAAUUUCAGACGAUAAAACCUAGAAGACACCGAUAAAACUUGAAGUAACGAGUUACUGUCCUCCAGAUCUUAUAGAUCGUUUGUUUCUGAGUGACUUGUUGAUUGUUAACAGUUUAGCUACCCACUUGUAUAUGAGGGAAGCAGAAUUUUAUAUUCCGUAAUUCGAAAAUGUUUAGUUUCGUGAGCUGCAACAAACAUAGGUGGCUUAAGGUUUACGUCGUGGAACUGUUAGGAAAGAGUUUUAGGUUGUUUAAUUUACUACUUCAGUGAAAAAACGGUUAAAAAAAAAAACUUUUUAUGCGCGUAUCGUGCACGGAAGAUGAUCAUCGUAAAUCUCCAAGUAGAGUCAUUUGUUAUAAAAAAUAAAACACGAUCCAAUCGUCGAAUUGUACUGGUUAACUGUUUGUGCGACGCGUACAUCAAGAGACCAACGGUGUGUAAGUAAACGCAAACUUCAAGUUUAGAUUAAACUAGCGUAAUCGUUUCUAUUUCCUACCGUUAGUAUUCUAGUUGUUUAUACUUUUUUUUUCCCUCUUAGUAAUUAUAAUUAAAGUGUUUUUAUGUACGUAUAAUAAUUUUUGUUCUUCUUUUAGACACAAAAUUUAAUAAAUGAAUUUAAACAAUUAAUGCGAAUAACAACUCGGGGUGACCAGUAUACUAACGAUGAAGGCUGAGAUAUCAUCGUUACUUUUUGAUAACCUACAUAUUACCAUUAUAAAGUUUACGUAUAUAACGAUGAAUCAAAGAAGGUCAUAAAGAUUAAACCUGUUUAGAUACAUAUUAUUUACGAUAAAUUUUUGGAGACGAUGAAAACACAAGUAGACUUAACCGGUUACGUCUGCGUGUCCGACUACUAGUUAUUUUGAUUAGAAUCCCACAAACACUCACUUGGCUCUACACACCGUACACCACAACUCUUGUUCUCGCUGAAUACUCAAAAAGAUACAUAAAAAUAGGGUGAACUUUCUAUCUCAUAAUAAGAUACGGAACUUAACAAUACAUAUAAAUUCAUAUUAUGUCGACACUAACUCAAUUACAUGUUCGUGGUAAGACACGAUCUUUAUAAUUUGAACGGAACCACCCUACAGUAAAUUUAAGAAUUCUAAGUGAAAUCAGAGUAAUUAGAUGGCUCGAUGGUCGUAAAAGUAGACUAACGCAUAACCACUAAAAAUUAGAAUAAUGGUGUUGAUGUUCAUAUUUGAUGAGGGAGGCAAGGAUUUAUAUUCAGAAAAAUUUCUAAGGUUGUACUUGAUGUAUGCCUCAUUUUGCUCACUUAGAUGUGACAUUUGAUGUAGAUGUAUGUAGGCAUACAUCAGGUGUAACUUUAGAGAUUUGUCUGAAUAUAAAUCCUUGUCUCCCUCAUAUUUGAUCAGGAUAACUCCUCAACCCGGUAAAUUAUUUUUAUCGAUCUUUCCUAUUUUUAUAGUAAUAAGGUGGUAUUGAAAAUGUCAACAUGUCACGAUACAACUAUUUUACUGAAGGUAUAAACUCGUGUAAUAGAACGAAGAAAUCGAUUAGACUACUUAAACUUAUAGAAAACUCUUUAUCUCAUAUUAAGUUCUGGUGAAUUCCGCUUAACAAGAGCUGCCACACCUUUAUAUUCACAGGGUAAAGGAAAACCGUAUCUUCUUCCAACAAGACGCUCCUUUUGAAAAUUCGAGUUGACGAGUCUGUGAUGUGGCGGACAAGAGACCGUAUUAUUACCGAAGCAACUUCACUGUAUGUAUUUACAGUUACUCCCCGAGGAGCCUUAGUUUAUACUCAGCUCACAACCUCUGCUCAGUAAAUUGUAAUACGAUGUUAGAAGUCUUCGACUACUUGGCUUGGACAUACAGUUAGGAGACCUUAGUCGGAGACACGUCACCCGACAGCGAUUAGAAUGUACGGUUCUCCGCCUUUUUUUGUGGAGACCUAUACGCACGCAAUCACAGGUAUCGAAGACGGACCCACAGUAGUCGAGGUACCUCCCAAUACAACCUAUGUCCACACGUACGAACGCGCCAAAACUUCCUUUAGGUAUGUAGGGUUUACCAACACUUCUAUAACUACUCACGUUUGCCUGUGGUCUUGAAACGUUUCCCUUAACGGUCUUGUGAUAGCCUUUGAUGUGGACGUGGUUCACGGGACUAGUAUGUCUCAUACUAUAUUGUUUUUACGUCACGUGAAGUCAUUCUUUCGUUUUAAAGAUGAAUCCAUAACACUAACCCGAUUCGUCACCGGAACCGUACGAUGAAAAGCCGAAUUGAUGCUAUAAAGAGCAAGUUUCUACCUUUUCUCUGCAGGUCUUCUUUGAUUCUUCCUUCAUAAAGGCUUCCUUGUUACCGGAAGAGAACCUUGUUAACUAUAGUCCCCUACUUUUACGCUCGCUCUCCUGUUUCUAAAAGAGGAACCUUCUCGAAUUUUCCCGUUGUUUAUUGAAACUAGGACGUGCAUAGGAACCUGCACCUCCCGUACCGUGUCAGAUGUUUCCCUAGAAUAGUUUGGUCGUACACCAUCGGUAUUUUUUUAGGGUCUAAUAGUCCCUUCCACUCUAGUCGCUAAAAUAGUUGCUCCAACGUUAAGAGAGAGUCUAUUUAGUGGCCUUAUAACACUUUGAAAAGCCCACGACAGAACUUUGACUCCAGGGGAAUGAUCACAUGCUGAAGUAAGGGUUGCCAAGUAACAAACUUUCAGAAGUAGUACUAAGAUCGUUGUACCAAAGAAACUGUACCUUACUGACGGAUGCCUAGCGUAGUCUUCGACGCCCACGAGAAACAAUAGAGGUGAGACGUCGGAGUUAUAGUUAGAAAGUAGCACUACACUUCAGGAGAUUAUAUGAGGAUCUGUGUUUGUUACGUCGUUUCCAAAGCCUAAAGCCGCGAAGUUCUCAACAGGGGUAACUAGUUUGAGUACAACGAUGUUUACAAGUCCCGUGUAAGCCAAUAAAACUAGGUCUUAUGAUGGUCUGACCCGUCGAUUUACUCUUCUCACUACAAAUGUCAAACCACACCAUGAGGAUCUUGAAGAAUAGUCCUUUUUUGGACAAAAAUGUCGACUCAGCCCUUACCGGCUCUCGAACACAUUGAUGAAGGAGAACCUCUAGUCCAGCUCCGUUGGGUUUCUUUAUCACCGCCGUGUUCAAGAACUUCUUCGCUUGCUCCUCCUCUAGUUACCCCAACGAAGAGAACGCCUUUUCACGAACUCCGAUUUUCCACUCCUUUCCGGAUGUUACUUCCUUCAGCUCUGUUGUAACGUCGUUGAUGCUUACUUAGCAUGUUUAAGUAGAGUUCAACUAGCUCGGCAACUCAUACUCUACGUUCCGGUGGUCAGGUACCGGUACUCGGAUCGGCCCUCUUGAAUAGUACAUUGUAGAGUCGCGUCGGUUUUACGUACGAUAUCGAACCUCGUCCUCAAGGAGCGUAGGCGAUCGGACGGGGCGAUCUAUACGAACAGUUGAGAGGUCACAAAAACGGUACCAACAAGAAAGAUUCGACUCCGUUCUUGACAUAGAACAUUCCGGGAUGUACGUCAGGAGAAAAAAUGUUUUACAUGAUAAUACGUCAUGGUAGGAAAAGAAAAACUCGUAUAUGUCAUGGUAGAAUGAACUACUUACUACCUAAAUGAGUUGUUUUAAUCACAAAGUAGGAACUAUGUAGCGUGAGAUAAUUGUGUGUAGGGAACGACUUUACUAUAAGGGU
rnacentral:rRNA from 1 species